AUUGAACGCUGGCGGCAGGCUUAACACAUGCAAGUCGAACGAGUGGCGGACGGGUGAGUAAUGUAUGGGGAUCUGCCCGAUAGAGGGGGAUAACCACUGGAAACGGUGGCUAAUACCGCAUACUAUCCGAUGAGCCCAUAUGGGAUUAGCUAGUGGGUGGGGUAAAGGCUAACCAAGGCGACGAUCUCUAGCUGGUCUGAGAGGAUGAUCAGCCACACUGGGACUGAGACACGGCCCAGACUCCUACGGGAGGCAGCAGUGGGGAAUUUUGGACAAUGGGCGCAAGCCUGAUGCAGCCAUGCCGCGUGUAUGAAGAAGGCCUUAGGGUUGUAAAGUACUUUCAUCGGGGAGGCGUUACCCGCAGAAGAAGCACCGGCUAACUCCGUGCCAGCAGCCGCGGUAAUAC
rnacentral:rRNA from 1 species